CUGGCUCAGGAUGAACGCUAGCGGCAGGCUUAACACAUGCAAGUCGAGGGGCAUCGGGUGUAGCAAUACAUGCCGGCGACCGGCGAAAGGGUGAGUAACGCGUGAGCAACGUGCCCGUAUGUGGGGGAUAGUCAUUAGAAAUGAUGCGUAAUACCCCGUAACACAAGGAAUCGCAUGGUUCUUGUUGAAAGAUUUAUGCAUACGGAUCGGCUCGCGUGCCAUUAGGUAGACGGCGGGGUAACGGCCCACCGUGCCGACGAUGGCUAGGGGUUCUGAGAGGAAGGUCCCCCACAUUGGAACUGAGACACGGUCCAGACUCCUACGGGAGGCAGCAGUGAGGAAUAUUGGACAAUGGCCGGAAGGCUGACCCAGCCAUGCCGCGUGCGGGAAGAACCGGCCCUAUGGGUUGUAAACCGCUUUUGCGGGGGAGCAAUAAGGUGCACGUGUGCACCGAUGAGAGUACCCUGCGAAUAAGCAUCGGCUAACUCCGUGCCAGCAGCUGC
rnacentral:rRNA from 1 species